AACGAACGCUGGCGGCAUGCCUAACACAUGCAAGUCGAACGAGACCUUCGGGUCUAGUGGCGCACGGGUGCGUAACGCGUUGGAACCUGCCCUUAGGUUCGGAAUAACUCCCCGAAAGGGGUGCUAAUACCGGAUAAUGUCUUCGGACCAAAGAUUUAUCGCGUUUGGAUGGGCCCGCGUUGGAUUAGCUAGUUGGUAGGGUAAAAGCCUACCAAGGCGACGAUCCAUAGCUGGUCUGAGAGGCUGAUCCGACACACUGGGACUGAGACACGGCCCAGACUCCUACGGGAGGCAGCAGUGGGGAAUAUUGGAAAAUGGGCGACAGCCUGAUCCAGCAAUGCCGCGUGAGUGAUGAAGGCCUUAGGGUUGUAAAGCUCUUUUACCCGGGAUGAUAAUGACAGUACCGGGAGAAUAAGCUCCGGCUAACUCCGUG
rnacentral:rRNA from 1 species